GGCUUCUUUAGAUAUUAUGAUGGAAAUAUUCUUCAAGGCGGCAUGCUUGGCUUAGUUUAAUAUCCUAAAUGCACUACAGAGCUUGCUUAAUUUCCUCCUUAGAUAUGCAGCCAUCCGAUGCUGUCACUGUAUCUCUGUGUUGCUGGUGGGUUGGGGUGGAGAAUAUUGCACUGGCAUUGCUGAAUAGCUUCUCUGUGCACGGCGCUGAGUUUUGUGUGUGUGUGUGUGUGUGUGUGUGUGUGGGUGAGGGAACGUGUGUGAGACAUGAGCAUGACUCACUCUGUAUUUUCUAUUGACUCGACAAGCCUGCGUCACUGACUAUCUCAUAUGAACUGAAUCCAAUAGGAUAACUACUUGCAAUCGCUCUUGGCUAAGACAAGUGUGUGUGUGUGUCAGUGUGUUUGAAGUAUUUGUUCACGAAGAUAGGUCUGGAUAACUGUAUUUACAAUGCAGUCUUCUGGUUUGUGUGUCAGUGUAUAGAAAAUGACAUUAUUCGUGGAGCGGAGGCGUGCGGGCUGAGCCGGAUCCUGAAUGCUGCACUGACAAUGAAGCUUGGAGGGACUUCAAGGUCACACCGCAGAGAGCUCUGUGAAUGAGAAAGUGAGAGGAAGAAAAAGAGAAGGUGGGGGGAGAACUGUGAGAGCAAAGCGAGCUGGAGGCAAAACGCCGAUUCGCCAUGCGAUGCUUGCAUAUCAAGUUGCUGCCCUGUGUCCAAAUUAAGAAGGCAAGAGAACAUCGCAGUCACCGAGGACUCUACAAUUAAUCAUAAUUUAAUGUCAAAUGGAUACGCUCCUUUGGCCGCUGUGCGUAAUUGAGCAUUACUCAGAUUCUCCAAAGGUCCUGGAGUGUAAUAACGCCUUCUGGUGCUCCGAGGCAAAUUCCCUCAUUUUCCUCAUCGUCUGUUGUUCAUCUUGAAGAAAAUCAAAGGAAAUGCACCACAAUUGGCCCCUGAGGGGAGUGGGAGGUCUGCAAGGUGGGAGGAAACUGGACAACCCAGAGGGAACCCAGACAGACAUAGGGAGAACAUGGACAUUCCACAUUUACAAUAUAAGGUAAGGUGGUAACAAUCCCGCCGUGAUCCAACACUACCAACCAUGAUCUGUUGUCUUCAUUAAGCACUUUAUCCUGGUCAGUGUCACAGUGAGUCCAGUGUCUAUCCCAGGAAGGUGGGAACACACCCUGGAAUUCAGGCUUGGGGAGUAACAGAAUACAUGUAACAGCCUUACGUGAUCAGGGUACAAAAAACUCGUAACUAUAAUCCGUUACACCAGUUACAUCAAAAAACAAAGUAAUCAGAUUACACGUACAUUUAGUAAAAAAAGGGAAUAGUAUCAAGAUCACAAUUUUUAAUUAAUCUUUUGACAAAACACAAUGUAGACAGCUGCUUGAUUAUAGUUCUGGUUCUCUCUUGCCAGUUGUGACUCACAUAAGCAACCUGCUGGUGCAUGCAUAAAUAAAUUGUGUGAGUUAAUUUGGUAGAAAUGAACACAAUUUGUUCUCUGAAAUGUUUUUGUUAGGGUGACCAAACGUACUUUUUUGCUUCUGUUGUGUAGGAGCUUUUAUAUGCUCGUUUUCUGCUUUCGGUGCUGUUACCUUUAAGUAUGUAAAAGCUAUGCUCCUAAAAUUUAUGUGCAGCUAGAUUAACCGUGCUUUCAGGAAGAUCGGCUGUGUACGUUGUGUAAGCAAACUGUUACUUGACGAUUGCUUCCAUUGUAGGUCUUGUUCUGCCACGUUUCAAGGUUGAGGCGGAAGCAAUUGCAGAUAUACAACGUUUUAUUUAAACAAACAAACAACAAAACAAAGACACUAAGACAGCUUGGCAAAAUACUGUGGCAAGAAACAAAACACGGUAACAUGGAACACAGUAGUCUAAGACAAACAUAAGACCGAAAAGCAGUGCAAAAAGUUGCUAAAUAUAGGAGUGCUCGUUAACAGAAACGUGAUUCAGGUGCAGGUAGUCAUGUGACAUAUUGUAGUACAGUGCAGUGGCAGUGGGGACUGAAGUCCAGAGUUACCUCCUUGACAUAUGACAGUUACUUUCAUAUUGUGAUACUUGAAUUAUGUUACUGAUUGCAUUUUUAUGAAGUAAUUUGUAACUGUAACUGAAUACAUUUAUAAAGUAACCCUCCCAACCCUGCUGGAAUGGGAUACCAGUUUGGACAUUCAUUUAUACAUAGGGACAGUUUUGAGUAGCCAGUAUGCCUUCUGGCAGGUUUUUAGGAGGUGGGAGAAAACCACAGAACCAAGAGGAAAUGCACACAUACAUGAAGAAAACAUGGAAAUACCAAAUAGAUAGAAAUGCGAACUCAGGAUCAAAGACUGGACCCUGGAGCUGUGAGGUGGCAACACUACUUGGAGAUGGUGCAUAACCAUUCUGGCCUGGUUGAAAGGCACUACAAAAAUAUUCUCCAUCAUGACACUGGCUUCAUGCGUGGUUUAAUUUCUCUCAGUUUCUUUAUUUUGUUUUAAGACGAGGGUUAAACAAGCAUUGCGAUUGACUGGGUUUUACAAAUACAAAUACGAAAGGUGAUUUUAGUUAUACUUGUGCUUUUCCUUCAUCCAUGCAUGUCUCUGGCCAGUCCAGAUGUUCACUAACUGGCACAUUAUGGCGAUGAAUGACAUCAUAGUCCUGUCAGCCCUGCACCUGAGGAUGUCUAUUCUUUUAGUGUCUGUUCAGGGAGCAAUGUGAUGAUAGAUACGAGGUAGAUGAGGUGUGUGUAUGUGUGUGUGUGUGUGUGUGUGUGUGUGUGUGUGUGUGUGUGUGUGUGUGUUUGUGUUUGCAUGAGGUAGUGUGUGUUACAGAAGUAAUCAGGCAGAUUAGUGGCCAUUGUUUGCCUGCUGUUUGCCCACCUGCUUCCUGGGCUGCUUUUCAAUAUCCAUCUCAGUCGGUGCUGCCUGACUUUUACAACUUCUCAAAGUACUGGUUUAUAUUUGCAACUUUAAGCAUGCUAGCACUAACCUAGUCUCUGUCACUGUCUCUGCUCCACCCACAUCCCACAACCCACAGCAUGUCUGAAACCUUUUUACACUCUGUUGGUCACAAGUUUUACAACCUUGAGGGUUGCAUUUGCAACUAAUUGGCUAUAUGUACAUCUGUGCAGUGCAUUCCGACAAAUCUUUAAGCAUCCAGACAAAAUGAGUGUUUUGGAGCAAGACAUAGCCACUAGAUUGAAAAAAAAGCAGCUGGUACAAUGUAUUAGAAAAUUAUUUUGAAACAGUUAGUUGUGAGUAGAGAAGGUCACUUAAACAACACUUUUUAGUGAAAGUAUGUUGGUGAUUCAUCGAUUGGGGAGCCAUUUAGACCUUCACCAUUCAAAAAAUAUAUUAACCCAUCAUAGGCAACAAAGUUUUUUUGAAUAAAUUUAUUUAAAUAUAAAAGAUGGCUGCAUUUUCCUCUUAUAUCUAUAACACUUUUAGUGAAUCACUUACUUUCAGUCUAUAAUUUUGAUAACAAGGCUGUACUUCAGUAUCAAAAUGUCACUGAAAAUAAAGAAAAAGUAAUGAGCGAACAUAAUUUUCUUCUACCCAUGAUCCUCAGGAAAUUCAAAUGAUGUAAUAUUCAACAUAGAAUAUUCCACAUAUUUCAUAGGGGUUAAUGUGUUCAGCAGCGUUGUGUGAAUGGUGUGGGAGACUAAAAUGGGAAUUUUUUUUUUACAAGCUAUAAUGGACGACUCAUGGAAAAUGAUGUUUCAAGCAUGCAAUAUUAAAUGGAUUCACACGCUAAUGCAAAAAUAGUAAUAAAUAAAUAAAUGCAGUAUUUUAGGGAUUAUAUUUCAAGGUAAAGUGUAGUUAUAGUGGGCUGAAACCUGGCAAAAUGAUUUAUCUGGAACCAGCACAUAGAUUGUCACUUUACCUGUGUUUAAAAAGUCUUCCACUUUUUCUUUACAUAUAUAAUUGUAAAUGUAAUAUCAGUGGGACACAAAUGUCACCCCAAUAGUGGAAUCACCCAUGAAGACUCUGCCUAUGUUCAUAUUUACAUUUGUAUUUGUUUAAAAAGCAUUAUCUGUUCAAGCCGAAUAAUGUAUUUGUAUAGGGGUUACAAGCCUAGCACAUACCCAUGCUCAAUUCGGGUAAACAUACAGCAUGUAGCACAUGACAACAGUCAUGAUUUCUUGGUCAAGAAACCUUGAAACCUCUCAGUGAGUCACCAGAGGUUCAGGUGACACAACAUCACUGGAGAAAAACAGCAAAGUAUCAAACCUUCUUCCUCAAAAUUAUUAUUCUUCCAUUUAUUCCCCAUCUUUUUUUUUUUUAAUAUUGCCUCAGCGCAAUUUUCAUCAUAUGUUCAAGUGCAUCACUUGACCACUAACCAAACUUAUCAGCUAUUCACAAACACGUUGUAUAUAUGGUGUUGAAUUGAAAGAUUGUUUUUUUUUUCAACAUUGGAUUAUUUCAAAAUUAUUUGCUGUAUCUGUAGAAAUGUAUUUAUUUAUCCAUCCAUUUUCCAUACUACUUCUCCUACACAGCAUCACAGGGGAGCCUGGAGCCUAUCCCAGAGAACUCGGGGCACAAGGCGAGGGAUACCUUGGAGCGGGUGCCAACCCAUCACACACACAUUCAAAAACUACGGACAAUUUGGAAAUGCCAAUCGGUCUACAAUGCAUGUAUUUGGGCUGGGUGAGGAAACCGGAGUAACCAGAGGAAACCCUGUAGCAUAGGGAGAACAUGCAAGAUCUACACACACAAGGCAGCGACGGGAUUCAAACCCCCAAUUCCGGAAGUGUAAAGACACUGUGCUUAUUUAUUGAUUUAUUUAUUUAUUUUACAAUAUGUAUUUAUAGGAAAUUUAAUGCAAUAUUAGACUUUUAUUCCACGGCACUUUAUUAUUUUUGAAUAACACCACAGACCAGAAAUUAGUUCCACUUGUAACAUAAACACUGGGUUUAUAUUAAUGGUAUAAUUCUAAUGCAUUAUUGUUUCUGUAAUGCUCCACAUAAUCUAAGGCUAGUUUUGGUUGAAGGUGCUGUGUAACUUGGGGGGGGGGUACUGAUGGUAGUGUCACUCCGCUGGCAUAUUGGGCUGCAUCACACCCCUCUACCCUGCUUGGAUUGCUUGUGUAUAACAGUAUGGUCUGUCAUGUGUUAUUCCUUACAUAUUAUAACUUUAAAGUCUCAUUGUUGCCUAUAAACUCAAGUAUCCAGGAUUUAGUUCUGAACUUCAAUUCAUUUCAGUGUUACUCUGAGUUUCCAUGGGGGGUUUACUCUGGGUUCUCUGGUUUCCUCCCAUGUCUUAAAAACACGGCAAAAGGUUGACUGCACUAGCAUCCCGUCCAGGUUGAAUUCCUGCUUUACACCCAGUGUUCCUGGGAUAGGCUCCGGAUCCACCGUAACCAUGAUCAGAAUAAAGUGGCUAGUGAAGAAUGUAUGAAUUAAUGUUUUCCCAGUUAGAUUCUUGUCUUAGUCUCUUAAGUAGUAUAAGCUUGCUUUUGCUUAAAAAAAUCUGAAGCUUUGAAGCUCAAUUUAGGUUUAAUAUUAGACUCAAAUUAUGCCACUCAUAUAUAAUAUAUGAUAAUAAAUAUGCAUAAUUAACAUGGUCUCCUACUGUUUAAUGUCUCUCAUUGCCUAUAGACUGCUCUUGAUUUGUCAAAAUGCUUAGUGCUCUAGGAUCUCAAUUGAUUCAAAAUGUUGCACGUGAUCGGCUACCCACAGAGAUAUGACAAAUAUGUUAAUACCUGUGCUGUGUAUGACUUCCUGAUGCAACACAAAGAAAGGAGGGAAUAGAAAACCACCUACCUCAAUAUACUGUGAUUAAUAUGUUGUAAAUAAAAAAUAAAAUAAAAUAAAGACACAUCAGGGUAUAGAAUGGAAUAGUCAAGGUUUCAGGGUGUUUCUGUUUCAUUUCAGGCUUUCAUAUUCAUAAACAGCUGCUAUUAUGAAAUGGUAAAGUAUAAGUGUAUAAUGUUGUUGUUUGAAAUUGGACAUACACUACUGGUAUACUUAAAUUGCCAAAAACUUAUUUCUAAGUACAGUGCAUCUUUCAAAGAACAAAAAUACAGACUUUAUGCCUAUGUAUGUUUGUUUUUUAGACAAGUAUUUACUUUACAUGAGUAUUUUUAAAUUUAAUGAAUCUUGUUUAAAA
ensembl:lncRNA